ACGUGAGUAACCUGCCCUUGACUUUGGGAUAACUUCAGGAAACUGGGGCUAAUACCGGAUAGGAGCUCCUGCUGCAUGGUGGGGGUUGGAAAGUUUCGGCGGUUGGGGAUGGACUCGCGGCUUAUCAGCUUGUUGGUGGGGUAGUGGCUUACCAAGGCUUUGACGGGUAGCCGGCCUGAGAGGGUGACCGGCCACAUUGGGACUGAGAUACGGCCCAG
rnacentral:rRNA from 1 species